rnacentral:rRNA from 1 species
ACGUAGGGGGCAAGCGUUAUCCGGAAUUACUGGGUGUAAAGGGAGCGUAGGCGGCAUGGUAAGUAAGAUGUGAAAGCCCGAGGCUUAACCUCGAGGAUUGCAUUUUAAACUAUCAAGCUAGAGUACAGGAGAGGAAAGCGGAAUUCCUAGUGUAGCGGUGAAAUGCGUAGAUAUUAGGAAGAACACCAGUGGCGAAGGCGGCUUUCUGGACUGAAACUGACGCUGAGGCUCGAAAGCGUGGGGAGCAAACAG